rnacentral:rRNA from 1 species
GGGGAAUCUUGCGCAAUGGGCGAAAGCCUGACGCAGCGACGCCGUGUGGGUGAUGAAGGCCUUUGGGUCGUAAAGCCCUGUCAGAGGGGACGAAAUCUUGUCGGCCUAAUACGUCGACUACUUGACGGUACCC